UGAUUCGUAAGUGGACUGUCCUCUUACCAUUUUUCAACUUGCAUUAGAUUAGAUCUAGGGGUUUCUCGUGAUUUGAUCGAACUGGAUCAUGUUUGUGGAACGAUACGCUUGAACUUAUGCUAGGUUUUGUGAAUUUAUUGACGAAUGUUGUGAUCUAGUUCAAUUUGAGUUCGCUUUUGCUCAGCUAAACUACAUAAAUAUGUGAUUGUUUUGAUACGGUAUUUGAGUUUCUCAGGAAUUCUGAAUCUUUAUUAUUAUAGAGGAAACAGAAGACCUGAGUACAGAUCUUAUGGAUCGGUUAACUGAUCCUCCCGAGUGGCAUCUAAUCUCUGAUUGUUAUUCUUCUUAUUUUUUUGAUUGUUUUGAAUCGAGGAAGAUGUGCGUGCUUUGUUCAUGAUAA
rnacentral:misc_RNA from 1 species